rnacentral:misc_RNA from 1 species
UACGGAGGGUGCGAGCGUUGUCCGGAAUCACUGGGCGUAAAGGGCGCGUAGGUGGCACGGUAAGCGUGUGGUGAAAGCUCGGGGCUCAACCCCGAGUCGGCCAUGCGAACUGCUGCGCUUGAGCACUGUAGAGGCAGACGGAAUUCCGGGUGUAGCGGUGGAAUGCGUAGAGAUCCGGAAGAACACCGGUGGCGAAGGCGGUCUGCUGGGCAGUAGCUGACACUGAGGCGCGACAGCGUGGGGAGCAAACAGG